rnacentral:lncRNA from 1 species
AAGUCAGUACUCUGCUUCAACAGAAAUGGAGUGCUCGAGCAAAAAUUUUAGCAGAAUUUCAAGAUAGAGUUUAGAGCUUAGAGAAGAACAUAUCUGAGGAUCCCUUUUUAUAGACGGAGAGCGUAACUGAUUGUCAGCGACGUCUGUGACCGCUUGGUAGUGGGCCGUUCAGAGUCACGUGGAGUUUGUUACGGAGAGUAGUGGCAUCAGGGGCUGUUCAAGGCCACGUGGAGUUUGUUACGAAGAGUGGAGUGGUGUCCAUUGUCGCAACUUGCCAGA